rnacentral:rRNA from 1 species
UACGGAGGGUGCAAGCGUUAAUCGGAAUUACUGGGCGUAAAGCGCACGUAGGCGGAUUGUUAAGUCAGGGGUGAAAUCCCGGAGCUCAACUCCGGAACUGCCUUUGAUACUGGCAAUCUUGAGACUGGAAGAGGUUAGUGGAAUUCCCAGUGUAGAGGUGAAAUUCGUAGAUAUUGGGAAGAACACCAGUGGCGAAGGCGGCUCGCUGGGCCGGUCCUGACACUGAGACGCGAAGGCGUGGGGAGCGAACGGG